UAAUCAUACAAAGAUAUUUAUUGCAACAUAUUGGUUAUGUUAAUAUCUAUUUUUCUAAUUCUUUUUUCAUUUCAGGACAUCCAAACUUUGAGAUGCCUGAGGCUAAGAGUCUUCAUAGCAUGUAUUGACAUGCAAAGGGUUCCAGACUUUCCCACUUCACUCCCAAAUCUCAGGAAAUGCCCUCUACCCAACCUGAAUGCCCCUGUAUGGGACUGUGUUAUGUACCACCGUGUCCUCAUGUCCUCCAACCACUAGAGAAAAUGCAAAGCGGCCCCUCCAUACACCGUUUCCCAAGGAAGAGGAGCUCACAGGGCUUAGAACUUCAAGAAGGAGUGAAACAAAAGCUCAAACCACAUAGUUUGAGCACCGAUGGUGCACCUGGGAAUACAAAGGUUGCUGAGGAAAAGAUCCCUGUUUUCACAACUGACGGACAUGUUGGCAUAAAUGAGAUGCACUAGAUUUGAUGUGGUAAGUGUGGUAAUGAAAGGAGGAAACUUCGUGCUGUGGUGGCAGAGAGGUGAGGGUCAACUCAGCCUGGACAAUCAGUAGACCCCACAGAGACAUGGCUAACCAAAGAAACGGGCAGAGGGGCCUAAGUGACUCAGUCGGUUAAGCAUCUGACUUCAGCUCAGGUCAAGA